rnacentral:lncRNA from 1 species
GGGAGUAGAUUCUGUUAAAAUAGUUUAAUGUGAUUUGCUCUAUCAUGGAUACGUUUGUCUUAGUGUAUUUUGGCAUUACUUUUGUUGUAGAUUAAAUGGCACCUAGCAGCACUACACCGUUUGCUUUGCGUUCGGUCCUUGAGAAGGAAAAGUUAAAUGGAACAAACUACUCGGAUUGGAUCUGUAACCUGAGAAUUGUUCUCAGGGCUAAGAAAAAGGAAGAUGUUCUAGACAACCCACUACCAGAAGAACCUGCUGAUGAUGCACCUGCUGCUGCUAAGAAUGCUU